GACGUAGGAGGCGAGCGUUGUCCGGAAUUACUGGGCGUAAAGCGCGUGUAGGCGGCCGCUUACGUGUGGGAUGAAAGCCCCCUGCUCAACGGGGGGAGUGUUCCACAAACGGGGGGGCUCCGUGGAGUGUGGAGGGGGAGUGCGGAAUGGCCGGUGGAGCGGUGAAAUGCGUAGAGAUCGGUCAGAACACCAGUGGCGAAGGCGGCACUCUAGGCCACAACUGACGCUGAGACGCGAAAGCGUGGGGAGCGAACGG
rnacentral:rRNA from 1 species